rnacentral:lncRNA from 1 species
CUUGCAUUGAAUAGACAGGAGACGUGGAAGAACAGCUAUUGGAGUAUUUUAAAUAAAGCAAAAUAGAAUGAAGGCAGGGAACAUCAAAGCAGGGCUACAAGCUAUUGCUGCUGCUCAACUGGAUGGACAUCUGUGGAGAAGGAGGAAGAGAAGGAGAAAGACAGCAAAGAGGAAGCUCAAGCACAGCUCAAGGGGACAGCAGCAAUAGGGAAGAGACCCUCCUGAAAUUAACCUUGAGCAGGAUUGGAAACACUGGACUAGAAAUCUUACAUGCAGCAGCAUCAUUAUGCAAUUUCCAGUACCUCUCUCCUCAAGCUGUGCUGUUCCAAAGGAAAAUGUGCAUUCCAGGACUGGGUAAUACCUCUGACAGCUUCCCCCAUUCAUGUCACCAAGAGCUGCAGCUGGGCUGGGUAUAACAAGAAUCCUUGUGAUAUCCCGCCCCAGUGAAUUUCCUGCUGAAUGUAGCCAAAAGCCAGCCUCUCCCAGAAUAUUAAAUCCACUGAAGCAGAACCUUGCAACAAUUUAUAGCAGGUUUCUAGGUGCUUAGUAGCCAUAGUGCUUUUCUUGUUUAUGGUCCAUAGUUUCCUCUGCCAUACUCUGUAAUUUCCUUACUAAGG